UCAUCCAUUUUUAUGACGUCGUAUGUUAUUAACUUGUUCAAUUAAUGGUUCUGCUAGAAAAUUUUCAUUGCAAUGCAAUGUUGUUUGCGAUGCUCGUUUUGUAUUCAAAAACAUAUACACAAUUAUGAAUAUUUUUGAUAUUGUCAUUGAAGUGAAUUUUAAUAUGAAAAUAAAAUGGAGUAUAUUUUUUUAGGAUUCUACUCCAAAUCAGAUAUAAAUUUACAUAAAACAGCCUGAUCAUGAUUUUGUUGUUGUUUCUCAGCCUUAAAAGCAUCAUUAAUUAUAGCAAUACAUUAUUGCUUUUCACCAUUUUAUAAAUAGGCACUUGAAUGCAUUUAUUCUUUGGUAUAUUAAAGAGUGAUGAAGAAUUCCUGUCUUUUAAAAGUCUUAGCAUAUCACUGUCUUUACACCUUAGUUUUUGCGCAUUUUUGUUUGUUUUUAUUGCUUUGUUGUUUGUAUUUUGUCUACAUGUGAUAAACCAUUUUUAUAUGUAUAUAUAACUUUAUAUAAUAUACCAUAUGCAUUGCAAUGUAUUUAAACAUUAAAAUAGGUCUACACAGUUGAAUACUUGUUAAGUUUUGUGUAAUUUGGCUAUGACUUUAGUUUUGCUUUUUUAUGAAAUAAAUGAAUUUUAAAGGUAUUGUUUAAUUGUUUAAAUAAAGUGAAGUCGAAGUU
rnacentral:misc_RNA from 1 species